UGAGGAACAUGACCUUCGGCGGGGAUAGCCGGCCCAACGGCCGGGUAAUACCGCGUACGACCACAUGGGGACAUCCCUGAGUGGUGAAAGCAGCAAUGCGCCGAUGGAGUGCCUCGCGGCCUAUCAGCUAGUUGGUGAGGUAACGCUCACCAAGGCGACGACGGGUAGCCGGCCUGGAGGAGGGCGAUCCGGCCACACGUGGGACUGAGACACGGCCCAGACCUCCGUACGGGGAGCAG
rnacentral:rRNA from 1 species